rnacentral:rRNA from 1 species
AUGGCGCCGGCGUCGAAGGUCGUGAGCCACGUCGUCCAAGACGGCGGCAUUGCCGACUAUGCCGUUUACGCCGCCGCGCCGUGUGACGCCUGGUGCGACGGGCGGCAUAGGAAGGCCGAGUCAGACGGCGACGACGAUGAUGACGACUAUGACUGCGCGCCUGCCGCCUGA